rnacentral:rRNA from 1 species
GACGAACGCUGGCGGCGUGCCUAACACAUGCAAGUCGAACGGAGAACAGAAGGAUUGAGACUUCGGUUGAUUGAUAUCUGUUCUUAGUGGCGGACGGGCGAGUAACGCGUGAGUAACCUGCCUUUCAGAGGGGGACAACAGUUGGAAACGACUGCUAAUACCGCAUAACGUCAUUUUGGGGCAUCCCUUAAUGACCAAAGAUUUUAUCGCUGAAAGAUGGACUCGCGUCCGAUUAGAUAGUUGGUGAGGUAACGGCUCACCAAGUCGACGAUCGGUAGCCGAACUGAGAGGUUGAUCGGCCGCAUUGGGACUGAGACACGGCCCAGACUCCUACGGGAGGCAGCAGUGGGGGAUAUUGCACAAUGGAGGAAACUCUGAUGCAGCAACGCCGCGUGAGGGAAGACGGUCUUCGGAUUGUAAAACCUAAGUUAUCAGGGACGAUUAUGACGGUACCUGAAGAGAAAGCUCCGGCUAAACUACGUG